CCUUUGUAGUAUUGGCCGUGUAACUUGUUUUUUCCUUUCUGAAUUCUUCAUCCGAGUGAUAAUUUCCCAUGAGGUUCCGAUGACUUUCAAGAUGUCAACAUCUGUCUUUAGCCUCUGUUUCUAAUCUGUGUACCUGUUGAACCUUGUUACAAAAAAAUAAAAGAAUAAAAAAAUAAUACCUGUUGAGCAUUGCAAGUGUUUUCUUUCACUCCCUUUGAUUUUUCCAUAAAGAGGAAAACCAAACAAAACCAUCCUACUACUUUCUGCAGUGCGAUUGUUUGAGGGAUAAAGCCCACAUCUCAUAUUCUACUUUGGGAAACAUGCAAAAGAUUUGAGCCUCUAGUGGAACUGUUGUUGUCCGACAAGGGUUAUGUUCAGGUUUUGAUUUCUAGGGUUUGUGUAUAUAAUGUUGGUACUAAGCAUGAAUCCAAAAAGACAGAGGCGCCCAAAUGUUAGGUUAGGGGAAAUAGGAGAUGUUUCUGCUGCUUUCACAUGUGGAUUUUCUCAAAAUGCUAAGGAAAAGUCAGUGCACAAGAAGUGGAAGAUUGAUUUUGUGAACCCUGUGGAGACAAAGCAUAAUCCAAUCUAUGGUUUUUCUUCUGAGCAGAAAUCCUCUGAGUUUACCAUUUCAGACCCCGGAGUCUCUCCACGAAUUUCAGUUGACAUGCAACAAAACAGAGAGAACAAUAACCCAAAUUCUUCAAAAUGGGCAGUUGAAUCCUCAAGUUUGGAUGAAAUUGAUAUGACUAGAUCUAAACUAAAUUUCAGUAAUAUAACCCGGAAGUGUAGGGUUAUGAAGAGAAGGGGUCAGAGCAAAAGAGGCAACAAAAGUGUUUUUGGAAGUGCUUGGGGUUCUAAACUUAGCCCUGAGUUCAGUGGACAAGAUGAGAGACAAUGUGGUGAGAAGGAGCUUGAUGGGUAUGCAUUCAACAUAUGUGAUGACUACUGUCCUGGUGAUGGUUUCAAGGACCCUUCAGAUCAUGAAACACCAGCUACAAGCAAAGAGGCUUGCGAAUUCAAUGUGUAUGAACCCAUAGGUGGUGUGCAGCCACAAGGAAACUUUGGUGAUUAUUGGAAUGAGGAUGUCUGUUUUGAGGCAAAUGAUGCUUUUACUAAAUGUGAUGGUGUAUUGGAUGACAUGGAAUUUGAAGGAAGUGACAUUAAUUGUGUCAGGAAAUGGUUGGAAGAGCUAGGUUUUGGUAAAUAUGCUGAUGUAUUUGAAAUGCAUGAAGUUGAUGAAGAAGCUUUGCUGCUACUUACUCUUGAAGAUCUUAAAGAGAUGGGCGUGUUUGCUGUUGGGCCUCGUCGGAAGUUGUUCACAGCAAUUCAACAGUUAAGAGGUGGAGAUGUUUCUUCUUGACCAAUCAGCUAAGAACAUAGGUGAUCUUGCUGUCGCUGCUGUUACGAGCUCCUUUUGUGCAGGAAACAUAACCCAUAUGGUUUACUUAGGGCUAAAGGUUCGGCUUAGAUAGCUAUGGCAAUUCAAAGUCCCCGAGGUCCGCCUUUUAAUUUUUGGGCAUUAUGGGAAUAAAAUUGCAAGAUAAUUUUUAGCUUCUUCCUUGAAUUUUAUGUAUAUCAGGUUGUUUCAUAAAAACCUUUUAGUAGUUUCUUUGCCCUGAUUGUACUUGAGUAAUUGAACCUAAAUCAGCCAUAAAAAUUACAAUUAGAAUCGAUUGUUUACGGAGGGAAUUCAAGUAGGAAGCUCAGUGUUCUGUUUAACUCCCAUAUUUC